CCUACGGGAGGCAGCAGUAGGGAAUCUUCCGCAAUGGACGAAAGUCUGACGGAGCAACGCCGCGUGAACGAUGAAGGCCUUCGGGUCGUAAAGUUCUGUUGUUAGGGAAGAACAAGUGCUAGUUAAAUAAGCUGGCACCUUGACGGUACCUAACCAGAAAGCCACGGCUAACUACGUGCCAGCAGCCGCGGUAAUACGUAGGUGGCAAGCGUUGUCCGGAAUUAUUGGGCGUAAAGCGCGCGCAGGCGGUUUCUUAAGUCUGAUGUGAAAGCCCCCGGCUCAACCGGGGAGGGUCAUUGGAAACUGGGAAACUUGAGUGCAGAAGAGGAAAGUGGAAUUCCAAGUGUAGCGGUGAAAUGCGUAGAGAUUUGGAGGAACACCAGUGGCGAAGGCGACUUUCUGGUCUGUAACUGACGCUGAGGCGCGAAAGCGUGGGGAGCAAACAGGAUUAGAUACCCUGGUAGUCCACGCUGUAAACGAUGAGUGCUAAGUGUUAGAGGGUUUCCGCCUUUAGUGCUGAAGUUAACGCAUUAAGCACUCCGCCUGGGGAGUACGGUCGCAAGACUGAAACUUAAGGAAUUGACGNUGAGAGNGCGAGNGCGACGAGGAGAG
rnacentral:rRNA from 1 species